ACUUACCGSUUAACAUCGAGUGUUAAAUAUGCUAGUCCUUUCAUGAUUAUGUGAUAGGUGGUGCAUGGCCGUUCUUAGUUCGUGGAGUGAUCUGUCUGCUUAAUUGCGUUUCACUAAGGGCCCAUAAAUUCAAGGUAUGUUAGCUCUCGUCGCUCUAUGGACCCCUUAACUCCAAUAUUCUUAUUGUGUUAAGCGCGUGUCUUUAUUUUAAGAGUUUUAAGACACUGCGCAUG
rnacentral:rRNA from 1 species